rnacentral:rRNA from 1 species
UGGGGAAUAUUGGACAAUGGGCGAAAGCCUGAUCCAGCCAUGCCGCGUGAGUGAUGAAGGCCCUAGGGUUGUAAAGCUCUUUUGUGCGGGAAGAUAAUGACGGUACCGCAAGAAUAAGACCCGGCUAACUUCGUGCCAGCAGCCGCGGUAAUACGAAGGGGGCUAGCGUUGCUCGGAAUCACUGGGCGUAAAGGGUGCGUAGGCGGGUUUCUAAGUCAGAGGUGAAAGCCUGGAGCUCAACUCCAGAACUGCCUUUGAUACUGGAACUCUUGAGUUCGGGAGAGGUGACUGGCACUGCGUGUGUAGAGGUGAAAUGCGUAGAGAUUCGCAAGAAAACCAGCGGCGAAAGCGGCUCACUGGCCCGAUACUGACGCUGAGGCACGAAAGCGUGGGGAGCAAACA